GGUGGUGUAAUGGCGGAGAGCUGUGGUUGAAAUGUGUAGCUCACGCAUUUCAUAAAAAUAGCGAUAUCAUCGACCAGAUGAUGUAUUAAGCUUAUAGUAAGGAGUCUUGUGAAAGCGAACUUUCACACGAAGUUCGGGAAAGCUGAUAGCUAGACUCCGAAAGUGACUUUGCCAGCCCGUGGGAAGAAGCCCACGAAUCCACCGAAAGCUCCUGGAUCGUACGCUCAGGGGAGAGACCGAGCGCAGAAAGGUGCACCUAACUGGCGGAUCCACUCUGCACGGGACGACACCCAGGGAUAUUUCAAAUGGCAGCAGGUCAUGCUGAGCAAGUGGACAUUGAUUUGAAUAAGAAGCCACGGUUCCAAUAGGAAUUAUGAGGUCUUAUUCAUCUUGGGCCAGGCAGGUACAUAGUGCACAGCAGGUAUGUCACUGUAAGGACACACAGAAACCAGCCUGGUCUGGCAUAGGGCUCUUUGUUCUUCCGCCAGCUGAAGGGUUUCCUUUUCCCCUUCUACUCUUAGCUUUGGCCAUGUAUUCCUUUGUCCCAGUCUGACCAAGUCUACUGAGGCAUUCAUAGAUCAUAGAUGAUAUGACUAAAGAUGUUCCCUUUGUUUUCUACUUUGCCUUCCAGAUGAGUGCCAAGUCAUUGUUCAAUUUUCUCCCAACUUCUACAUUUUUGCCUUUGGCCACAAGACCUCUUUCCUUCGAUCCUUGGUUGCUGGUGUCCGCUCUGCUGCUUGGAAAUUGCCCAGGGGUACAAAGUUGCCUGUGGUUGUCCUGGAGGCCGAUCUCCAUCCCUUGGUGUACCCUCAAGCCUCAGAGUCGUUAUCUUCCUUCAACCUCCAAUCUUCUCAAUUCCAUUCGCUACUAGGUGGCGCUGGAGCCAAGGUGUCUGAGAAUACCGACAAGCUGGUACUGGUGUCCGGCUGGCUGCUCUUCCGACGUCUCGGAAACCACUGUUUCCGCCUGAAGGGAAAACUCACCAUGAACUUCAUCUACCUCUAAGGCAGCUCCACCACUCUGCGUAUCUCCAGUCUCUCUUACUCUCUGUCCUUAGUAAAUUUUACUAAUGUCCUAAGCUCACUCUCUCUUUCCCUCUCACUCAUGUGUCUUCCUCUAACUCUCCCUACCCUCAGCAGUGCAGGUGUUUGCUGCUCUGUCUCUGGUCCAGCUGCUUAAGAGAGACAGGGAUCACAGGAGAAACCAAGCACAAUGAGAUGGGAGGUGAAAUGACAUUUCUACUGGAGACAGAUAAAAUAGUGCUCUAACCAAAAUAAGUGUGGUUGGUAACUUUCUUUAGCCCAAUGACAGGGGUCUGUCCCAGAACAUCCCACUAACUUGGCACCAGAUUCUGUGGUGAGAUGAUCUACUCCAGGGGUGUCCAAUCUUAUCUGCAAAGGGCCAGUGUGUACGCAGAUCUUUAGGAUAACCUUUAGGUCAGCUGUCCAAACCCAGGUUUGAGGACUCUUCAGCCAAUCAGUCCUCUAAUUAGUAAUCUAAUUAGGGAGUUGCAACGCAAACCCGCAUACACACUGGCCCUUUGCGGAUAAGACUGGACA